UAUAAUUGUAUGCGAUUAUUUAUACUGAGCGAAAAGGCAUCACUGCAACGAUAGCUUUUCUCCUUCUCGUUGAACUGUCAAAACAUGAAACAUGAAAGUGUUAAAGAAACAGUCGCCAAUAUCAGCUGGUUUUAGGGAUUCUAUUCUCAAUUGGAAUACUGCUCGGUAAAACAACACAGAGAAAACUUCCAAUCGAAGUAUGGACAGAAACCCUUCAACUCUCGAUGGCACAGCAAUAUUCCGUUGCAAUCGAUACGGACGAUCGAAGAAAACUUUAAGUGCAGUUUUCAUCAAAUUCUUCAAACGGCAGACAUCAUCGGGUAGAAGUGAUGUGAGGACGGAGAAGGUGGUUUCGAAGAAGACAAAAACUCGAUCUGUGUCAAUAAGGAAACAUUAUGCAGUAGCUGCAACCAGCCAUCCACUGAAAUCCCAAUAGUCGAUGAUGAAUUCUCCUGCUCUCGCUGUAGAGCACAAGAUGCGACGAAAACAAUUGAGCUGAGAGUAGAUAAAGUUCCGAAGAAAAUUGGCACCUGUCGGGGAUUUGCUGCUGACAACAUGAACGCUGCAAAUGUUUGCUUUCAAUUUUAGUGGCAUUGUAUUAAGUUUGAAAGCAUUGUAUGAAAAAUAAAUGUUUGUAAACAACGCAA